rnacentral:rRNA from 1 species
UACGUAGGGGGCUAGCGUUGUCCGGAUUUAUUGGGCGUAAAGAGCGCGUAGGCGGCCGAGUAAGUCCGACGUGAAAUCUGGAGGCUCAACCUCCAGCGGUCGUUGGAAACUACUCGGCUAGAGUCCGGAAGAGGAGAGUGGAAUUCCUGGUGUAGCGGUGAAAUGCGCAGAUAUCAGGAAGAACACCGAUGGCGAAGGCAGCUCUCUGGGACGGUACUGACGCUGAGGAGCGAAAGCGUGGGGAGCGAACAGG